GCCCGGGUAGCUCAGAGGUAGAGCGCGUCCUUGGUAAGGACGAGGUCACCGGUUCAAUUCCGGUUUCGGGCUCCA
rnacentral:tRNA from 1 species